rnacentral:misc_RNA from 1 species
UAAUAAGUGUUUUAGUGGCACUUUUUAAAUCCAUAUCCACCUUGUGUGCAAUGUCAGUCGAUCUUCUUCAUGGAGAUCGACCAAACAUCAACCUUUAUCUUUUAACUCUUUGUCUGAAAAGUAUUAUGAAUAAACAAUUCAAAAUA